CUGAGGUUGCACAGCGAAGUGAGACACUCCAUAUGCAUCUUGUUGAGGCACCAAGGCGGACCAAACUUUCCUUAACUUUUCGCUUACAUAACAAGC
rnacentral:ribozyme from 1 species